GCACAAGCGGUGGAUGAUGUGGAUUAAUUCGAUGCAACGCGAAGAACCUUACUACCCUUGACAUGUCCGGAACUUGCCAGAGAUGGCUUGGUGCCGAAAGGGAAUCGGAACACAGGUGCUGCAUGGCUGUCGUCAGCUCGUGUCGUGAGAUGUUGGGUUAAGUCCCGCAACGAGCGCAACCCUUAUCAUUAGUUGCUACGCAAGGGCACUCUAAUGAGACUGCCGGUGACAAACCGGAGGAAGGUGGGGAUGACGUCAAGUCCUCAUGGCCCUUAUGGGUAGGGCUUCACACGUCACACAAUGGUCGGUACAGAGGGUUGCCAAGCCGCGAGGCGGAGCCAAUCCCACAAAGCCGAUCGUAGUCCGGAUUGUUCUCUGCAACUCGAGAACAUGAAGUCGGAAUCGCUAGUAAUCGCAGGUCAGCAUACUGCGGUGAAUACGUUCCCGGGUCUU
rnacentral:rRNA from 1 species